rnacentral:lncRNA from 1 species
GUCACCAUUAGUGUGGCACACCUAUAUUUGCAAAAGGUGUUGCCAUUAGUUCAUGAAAAUGGAGUCUUAAUCUCUGACCCUUCACCUUGGGGAUAAGAGAGAGAGUGCAGUCAAGCCAGUUGGGCACUGAGUCAGAAUUAGACCUACAGUCUCCCUGGAACUUGUGCAUCCCCCACCCUUCUCCCUGUCUUGGCUUCCUGUUGUCCACAUGAGUCACCAGCUGCUGCCAUCCUCUGGAAGAAGGGAAAAGAAAAAGUGGAGCACAGAAAUGAAAGAAAGGAUAAAAGGAAAAGAAAGGGAAGGAGAGGUGUUCUGGAAGUGCCUACCUGGUUCAGAAGGAGACAGCUGAAAUCAAGCCAAUGGAGAUGAGAAGAUGGAAGCUCCAGAGUCCCGCCCAAGAUCACACCACUCGUAAGAAGCAUUAACUAGAGUUGUGAACCCAGGUCUGGCUUUAAAAUCCCACGUUGUUCCCAUUGAGCUCUGCUGUUGGAGGAGUUUCCUGAAAAGCCCCCUUACAAUCUGCCACCUUUUCGUUUAAUUGAGUGUGCCACACAGUUUGCCCUCCAAUCAAGACUCUGUCUUGUUCCUGGCUAAUCAUAUGGUUGGUCUUUCUGGCAAGGCUAACUCUCCCAGAGUCAAAUGGUUAGCAUAAACAAUCAGAUGUGGUCCUGGGGGUCUACCAUGAAUGACUAAGACACUCGGAUCACUUGAGGAAUUCCAAAGGUUUAGAGGCUCCCUUCCAGGAGCUGGGAUAAGUCUGGAUCUAUGUUGGGAUAAAGUUAAUUCUUCACCGUACACACCUCUAUGGCAAAAUACAGUCUCCUGGGGCUCCUGUUCUCCACAAUGUCUCAGAGUUCAGAAAAAUCCUAACACCGAGCAUAGUCCAAAAUAAUGGGGCCAAAAUGUGAGGCUGUUUUGAUCUGCCUCAAGCCAGGGGUAAAUUUAGAGUACUUAAUGAGCUAUCUCUGAUGCAUACACUAGGGGCAAACUUCCAUAAGUAUAGUCUUUCUCUCAGCUAAGUUUUUGAGAGCUAUUGAGUCAGUUUACACACCCUGAUAACCAUUGGAGAACAAGUAUUUGAUGCUAUGGUUAAGCAUCAAACUGUGUGCCUGAAGAGUCAAACCAAGUGGGAGGUAGGAGAAUCGCUUGAACCUGGGAGGCGGAAGUUGCAGUGAGCCAAGGUUGUGCCAUUGCACUCCAGCCUGGGCAACAAGAGCGCAACUCCGUCUCGGGGAAAAAAGAAAUGUCAAAUCAGCUGGGGUGAGACCACCGUCCUCUGAUGAAUGAGGACACUGACCUAUAGGGAUUGUCCUUACUUCAAACAUGUGCAGGCUUGGAGUACCCCUGGCACCUAAAUGGAUUAAAAAUACAUUUGUCUCUCAAAAAUGUAUGGGCAUAUGUCAAAUUAGCAGCAUUCUUACUGCCAAGCAAAUUUGCUAGGUCUAUUUUUGAGUUGUAACACUUUGGCAAUUAAAGUUAUUCAGAACUCUUUUAAACUCUGGGAAACCUUGAAACUGUAAAUGAAAUGUUGUACGCAUUGUUGUUUUUUAAGUUUCAACUAUCAAAACUCAACAAACUUUAAUGAAUUUCUGAAAGCAUCGCUAUGAAGGUGAGAAUGGGGAGACACCAUUACCACUGGAUCCAUUUUGUACAAGUGGGUCUAUUCCCAGCUGUGUAUGAUCGUUAUGUAAUUGGCAUCCGUUGAGUGUGUGCA